rnacentral:rRNA from 1 species
AACGAACGCUGGCGGCAGGCCUAACACAUGCAAGUCGAGCGCGCCCUUCGGGGUGAGCGGCGCACGGGUGAGUAACGCGUGGGAACGUGCCCUUUUCUACGGAAUAGCCUCGGGAAACGGAGAGUAAUACCGUAUACGCCCUUCGGGGGAAAGAUUUAUCGGAUUAGGAUCGGCCCGCGUUGGAUUAGGUAGUUGGUGGGGUAAAGGCCUACCAAGCCGACGAUCCAUAGCUGGUCUGAGAGGAUGAUCAGCCACACUGGGACUGAGACACGGCCCAGACUCCUACGGGAGGCAGCAGUGGGGAAUCUUAGACAAUGGGGGCAAGCCUGAUCCAGCCAUGCCGCGUGAGUGAUGAAGGCCUUAGGGUUGUAAAGCUCUUUUAGCUGGGAAGAUAAUGACGGUACCGGGAGAAGAAGCCCCGGCUAACUCCGUG